rnacentral:tRNA from 1 species
AUUUAAAUAGUUUAUUAAAAAUUUUGAUUUGUGGUGUCAAAGAUAUGAAUUAAUUCAUUUUAAAUC